UGAAUUUGAAUGGGACCAGAAGAUUCUCUGGGGGUCAUGUUUGUGGCCCUUGAGAAGCAGCCUCUCUACUGCUUUCAGCUGAUUUCCUGGCAUGUUUCGUGGGGAUUUGUGAAUAAACCUGGAAAAUAAGAAAUGAACAUGGAAUUUUCCUCUGUGUCUGACGGCUGUGCACUUCCUUCGUGCCUCUUGUGAUGCUCUAUAUUUGUGAUGGCAAGAGAUACAGCUGUCUGGAAAACACUCAACAGAUGGCCUUUGGGGGAUGAUGCUUCAUCCUUUUUUGCAGGCUCUCGGACACCUAAGCUCAGGAUUUCCGUAAGUGCUGGUGAGCAAUGGACUCCUUUCGAGAAACAUGCGUUUGGAAUGUUCAGUGACAAAAUUCAUCCUCCUCCAAAAAAAUGAGAAGAAACUGAGGUGUCCAUAUGAAAUGAAUGUGCACUAUCAUACUCAAAUGUAUUGUCCUUGGAAACUUUGUAACCAGUACGGAGAAAAGCAAGUAACUAGAUAGAGAGCCUGAUACUGUUGGGUAGAUGGAUAGAUCGCUUUUCUUUCAGCAGGAGAGUGAGGCAAGAUCAAUCAGUUCUUUCAUUUUUGUGAAGCUCUUUAAAGAUUGGCUUUAUAUUUUUUAGAAAGAGCAAUUUAACCUUGGCUUCAGUAAUGACACGACUUGUUGAAUGACUUAAUCUCUGAUGAAAUUAGUCUGAGUGGUUUAAGAAUUAAUUAAGUGGUUUCUUUUUACAUUUCAGGUAGCAUUUUGCCGUGAAAUACUUAUGCUUCUAUCUUUGUUAUUUAUACAGCACGUGGAUGUGUAGAACAUUAUUAUGGGGACGGGAAAAUAAGAGGAAGUUGAUUGACAAA